GACAGCCCUAGCCGCGUGGCUGUUGGGCGUGAAUAAUUAGGAACGGCUACCGCUAGCCCUAGCUGGCAGCCAUAAUGACAGGUAGCUGCUGGGAAACCACAAAAGUUCCCACGACACAGUAACCGAAUAUGUUUUAAAUGUUUUAAAUGAAAAAUAAAUGCAAGGAAAUGGUAUUUGAAAAAGGAAUCGGUAGUGAAUGAAAUGAAAAAAAAAACAAACAAUGUCUUUUCCCUCACCCAGAACCCAAGUUAUUCUCAGAGAAAAACCUAACCUUCUCAACUUGAGGAGAUCCAGAAAUGAAUGACCGCAAACAACAAACGAAUGCCGGCGACGGAGAUGAAACCCGACCGGGAAGCACAAACGGAACCGUUUACAAGGAGGUUCAACAACGAUUGGGUGAUGGACGUUGGAAUCUCUCACUCUUUUUCCAAUCGAUUCCCACCGGUGCGCUCAAAACUCGCCUCCCUUGCCUUCGGUAUGAGCUUCGUCCAAUGGCGGUGAAAAAAGUGGAGGUCUGUUCGUACAGAGGAUGUCUGGAGAUUUUUGUCCUCAUCCCAGCUUGUGGUCCCUCUUCUCAACUCCUCGGUUUACCCUUUUACUGCUUGCCCAGAUUUUUACUGCUUUGUUACGUGAGCCUGUUAUAAAUUCGUGUCUAUGAAAGAUGAGGGUGAAAGAUUUCUCUUUAUGUCUCCUUCAAACACUGAUAUAUCUAAUGAAUCAUUUGGUGCUUUUUCCGGAAAGAAUAUUUUCAAUAAGCACUUAAUGUGAUGGACUUGAUUCUGAAUGCUAUAUAAGAUCAAAAACCUUAGGAUCAUCACAAGUUUCUGGUGGUUUUGGUUUUUGCAGAAAGUUGAGUUGGGUGUAUCAGCAAGUUAAUCUUUUAUGUUUUUGUUGUUGACUUUUUCUUAUGAAUGGAGUUCUCACUUGGAAAUUUGACACUUAGCAGAAGCUAUGGUGAAUUCACUCGUAGGCGAGAAUCGUUGCAGAAAUGGUGCCGGUUGCAAUGCUCACCUGCAAAUUGGUUUGGGGAAUCUCACGACAGUAAAUGGUAAGCUUUUGUUCCUUGUUCAAGCUUUUCGUGGCAUAUUACAAAGUUGGUGAAUUUGUGUAGGGUUUGGUGCGUUGCAUUGAUUGGUGAGUUGUUAUACGCGCGACGGUUCGCAUCACCACACGAACACGAUAAUGCAUCACUGCAAUAUUGGUUCCUUCUGCAACAAAAUGCGUGUAUGCAAUUUUACACCUUCAUCUAAAAGUGUCUGGAUCAAUGGGAUUUCCAAAAAAAAUAACCCUUCAUCAAAAUGCAUCUUAGCACAUUCCAAAUGUCUAAUGGCUUCCUCUUAUGAGAAGAAUUCAGAAGCAAUUGAACCCAACAGAGUCUGGCAGCAACAAAUAUGAAGUUUGCUGUUAGUACUACCAAGUCUGAAUCACCGUCCUCUACAUCAAUCACUUGUUUGGAUUGAGUAACCUCAAGUUGAAUUUCUAUCAAGGAGCGUCCAACCCAUAUAACAGAACCAACAAUUGUAAGAUCAAUGUUAACACUAAUCGGUUUCUUUAGUACAAUCUUAUCCACAGAAGCAGUGACAAAUAUAAGUGGCCUUGUUGUACUAUCUUCAUUAGAACAAUGCUUAACAGAAAUGGUUCCGUCCCAAAAUCCAUUGCUUGUUUACCAUGUGAAGAUGCAACUGCAAUAAGUGGCUUUCCAUACUUGGCUCCACUAUGUGAUGUUGGGGUGCCAACAUUGGUCUUGCGAGGGGCUAUAGUUGUUUUGCUGCAAUGACAGUCGUGUGAUAACACUUGCCAUUGGUGCCAACAGUCGUGAAGUUUUGGAUUUGCUGCAGGGUCCUGCUGUCACUACUGUUAUGACGUUUUCUUGCGUUUCUGAAUGAAGCUCUUAUAACAGUAUCCUGCUGCCACCUUUUUCCAGGAGACUUCUUUUUACCUUUGCCUAAUGUCCAACCAGUAGGGGAGAAAGCAACUAUAAGACUGAACCGACUCGCAUAUUGACUUGAUAUGUGCUUCAAUCUUUUGAAGCUUGCGAGCGUCCACAUAGGGCAACAUGAAUAUUGCUUUCAUGUUCAUUUGAAAUAAACCAUUGCAUAUCCUCCUUAGUAAAUUCUAAACAGUUUAAAAGGCGUAAUUUGGCUGCAGUCACGUAAACCUUUUUGCAAAGUGAACGUGCAACCUCCAAGAAUAGCCUUUCUUUUCCAAUUGUACAGCUGUGUGAAGUACCACCUGACCAUUCGGAGGUUGAAAGAGUAUUAUUGGCAUCCAAGCAAGUCACGCCAAUACCAGCUAUUUCAAUCUUUUGGUUUAGAGAAAAAAUAUGUAAUUUAUCAUAUGAAAUCCCUAGGUUCAUAUUUACAAGUCUAGCCGUAACAGAGGAGCAAUAGAUCUUUCCAUGAUUGAACGACUUGGCGAGACUUGAUAAUGGUCCAUGUGGAAGUGUGUUAGAAACCAGUGGGAACAAUCUCCUCUUAGGUAUUUGAAAGCAUCCACACGAAAAGGUGUUCCUUGUAGCAAGACAUAGUCGUUCUUUGCCUUAGAACUUCCAAGUAUUCAUAUGAGCUACUUUUUUAUUAUAAGUUAUUCAUAUGCCAUGUACAUGGAUAAUUAUGAUUGAAUGAAUGUGAGAAAUUCUUGGA